GAACUAAAAAAGGUAUUUAAAUAUACCUUCUUGAAGAAACCAGAGGCCUUUCUCCUGGGCAUAGUCGGCCAAUCGGUGUUAAAAAGGAUAGAACUUUCUUUAUGUAUGCUACAACAGCAGCAAGAAUACUCAUUGCAAAGUAUUGGAAGACACAAGAUCUACCCACACUGGAGGAAUGGCAGAUGAAAAUGAUGGAAUACAUGGAAUUGGCGGAAAUGACUGGCAGAAUCCGUGACCAGGGAGAAGAGUCGGUGGAAGAAGAUUGGAAGAAAUUCAAAGACUAUUUACAGAAAUAUUGCAAAAUUAAUGAAUGUUAGAAUGAUGUUGGAUUGAAGUUAAGGGGUUUCUAGCUGUACAGGCUAAAAGAAUAUGGAAAAAUUGGUUUUAAUAUGUAAAAUCUAAAAUUUAAAGCUAUAUUAUAUCAAGAUUAAAGAUUAGGAUUAAAAAGGAGGGAAAGGAACUGUUGGACUAACAUAUUUAAUUAGAAUACAAAAGAGGGAGGUAAGAGGAGGUCCGAGAAACAAGUAAAUGUAAAAGAAGUGAGGAAAAGAUGAAAUUGUUUUUAAUUGUUUUUUCCUUUUUUCCUUUGUAUUUUUUCUUUUUAUUGUUAAUUUUUUCUUCAUUAAUGUGGUUUUUUUCUUGUGAAAUUUUAAUAA